rnacentral:rRNA from 1 species
CGGACGGGUGAGUAACGCGUGGGCAACCUACCGUAUACAGGGGGAUAACACUUAGAAAUAGGUGCUAAUACCGCAUAAGCGCACAGCAGUGCAUACUGGAGUGUGAAAAGCCGAGACGGUAUACGAUGGGCCCGCGUCUGAUUAGCCAGUUGGCAGGGUAACGGCCUACCAAAGCGACGAUCAGUAGCCGGCCUGAGAGGGCGGACGGCCACAUUGGGACUGAGACACGGCCCAGACUCCUACGGGAGGCAGCAG